AGUCAACCUAACCUAUGGACGGGAAUAACCUCGGGAAACUGAGAAUAAUGCCCGAUAGAACAUUAUGCCUGGAAUGGUUUAUGUUCCAAAUGAUUUAUCGCCGUAGGAUGGGACUGCGGCCUAUCAGUUUGUUGGUGAGGUAAUGGCCCACCAAGACUAUUACAGGUACGGGCUCUGAGAGGAGUAGCCCGGAGAUGGGUACUGAGACACGGACCCAGGCCCUAUGGGGCGCAGCAGGCGAGAAAACUUUGCAAUGUGCGAAAGCACGACAAGGUUAAUCCGAGUGGUUUCUGCUAAAGAAACCUUUUGUCAGUCCUGGAAACACUGAUGAAUAAGGGGUGGGCAAGUUCUGGUGUCAGCCGCCGCGGUAAAACCAGCACCUCAAGUGGUCAGGAUGAUUAUUGGGCCUAAAGCAUCCGUAGCCGGCUCUGUAAGUUUUCGGUUAAAUCUGUACGCUCAACGUACAGGCUGCCGGGAAUACUGCAGAGCUAGGGAGUGGGAGAGGUAGACGGUACUCGGUAGGAAGGGGUAAAAUCCUUUGAUCUAUUGAUGACCACCUGUGGCGAAGGCGGUCUACCAGAACACGUCCGACGGUGAGGGAUGAAAGCUGGGGGAGCAAACCGGAUUAGAUACCCGGGUAGUCCCAGCCGUAAACUAUGCAAACUCAGUGAUGCAUUGGCUUGUGGCCAAUGCAGUGCUGCAGGGAAGCCGUUAAGUUUGCCGCCUGGGAAGUACGUACGCAAGUAUGAAACUAA
rnacentral:rRNA from 1 species